UACUUCUUUUAAACUGCCCGGCCUGUCGGAUUUCUUUUAAUACUACCUUCAUAAUUAUGUUGUUUUGUUUUUGAUAAAGAACUGUGUUGUGAUUCUUGUGUUACGAAUGAUUGUUGAAUGACAUAUUCCUAUGUAAA